GAGGGGCGUCCGAAGUCGCUGAGCUAACCGUAAGGAAGCAGGCGCCGAAGACGAAACUCCUGAUUGGGACUAAGUCGUAACAAGGUAACCGUAGGUGAACCUGCAGAAGGAUCA
rnacentral:rRNA from 1 species